CAGAAGAUAGUUUAAUUUAGAAUCCUGGCUUUGGGAGCCAGGGGUGGGAGUUAAAAUCUCCUUCUUUUGG
rnacentral:tRNA from 11 species